AGCGAACGCUGGCGGCAUGCCUAACACAUGCAAGUCUGACGGGCUUGGGGUUUCGGCCCUAGGUCAGUGGCGGACGGGUGAGGAGCGCGUAGGAACGUAUCCAAGGGUGGGGGACAACCGCGGGAAACUGCGGCUAAGACCGCAUGCGGCCUGAGGGCCAAAGCCGGGUGACCGGCGCCUAUGGAGCGGCCUGCGUCCGAUUAGCUGGUUGGUGGGGUAACGGCCUACCAAGGCGGUGAUCGGUAGCUGGUCUGAGAGGAUGAUCAGCCACACUGGG
rnacentral:rRNA from 1 species